rnacentral:rRNA from 1 species
GGAAGGAUCAUUAUCGUAUAAACAAAGAGGCGUUCGGGGUUGUCGCUGACCUCUAGAGUCGUGCACGCCUCUGAGCGUUCUCGUUUACACAUCCACCUCACCCCCUUGUGCAUCACCGCGUGGGCCACCCCUUUGAUUCAUUUGAAGGGUGGCUUGCGUUUUCUUUUCACACACACAAACCUGGUUACNGUGGAGGUCUUUAUUACUUUUGUAAUGAUCAGUACAACUUUCAACAACGGAUCUCUUGGCUCUCGCAUCGAUGAAGAACGCAGCGAAAUGCGAUACGUAAUGUGAAUUGCAGAAUUCAGUGAAUCAUCGAAUCUUUGAACGCACCUUGCACCCCUUGGCAUUCCGAGGGGUACACCCGUUUGAGUGUCGUGAAAUUCUCAACCUCCCCAAUUUCUUGGGGAAGGCUUGGACUUUGGAGGCUUUUGCUGGUCUCUCUUUCGAAAGCCAGCUCCUCUUAAACGAAUCAGUGGGGUCCUUCUUUGCCCGGUCCCUCGACGUUAUAAGAUUUUUUCUACGUCCGAGGUUUGGCUUGGUAGGCCCGCUUCYAAUGGUCUCGCUUUCGAGACACGUUUGAACCCCUCUGACCUCAAAUCGGGUGAGACUACCCGCUGAACUUAAGCAUAUCAAUUAAGCGGAGGAAA